GUGCAAAUGAUGGAAAAUUCACUAUUUGGAAAAGAAUGACAUGAACAAAGGAACCGCUGAUGCAC
ensembl:snoRNA SNORD42 Small nucleolar RNA SNORD42